CCCAAACUGCGCUGGGAUUGGCCAUCGCUCGGAGACUGCGCGAGUGCGAUCUUACCCUGUGGGUCGUAUUGGUGUGCCUGCUAGCAGCAGAGGGUGGCGAGGAAGCAGGCGACGCAGCAGGCAUUCCAUUGUCCUCGAGUCACGAUCGGCUAUAAAAUGGCAACCGUUGCGACGACACACGGCACACACCACGCUGCCGCUUGGCUCUCGUCCGUUCUCGUCGAAACGGAGAAAGAUACAAAAAGAUUUCCGCGAGAGAGAAGAUAAAACGAAGCCAAAUGUCGGGCGGGCGGGCCUGCGGGGAUUCGAGGAGGAGGAAGAAGAAGAAGAAGAAGAAGAAGAAGAAGAAGAAGAAGAAGAAGAAGAAGAAGAAGAAGAGAAGAAGAAGAAGGAGAGGAGGGGAAGGGGAGGAGGAGGAGAGGGGAGAAGGAGGAGGAGAGAAAAAGGCACUGACGUCGUUGUUCGACCGGUUCAAUCACUAGUGCGCGCACCGGUUCGGUAGCAGCGACGAUUUUAUCGACCCUCGUGCGCGUUUUCACGAGGACGCGUUUUAUUUUUCUCGGAACAAUACGAUGUAGAAUUUUUUGAUACCGCCUCGACUCUCUUUUUCUAUCUUAUUUUCCUCCUCUCUAUAACACGAGAAGCACGCACCAGGAUUAGUUUUGGUCGAAUCGCGCGAUUCUUUUUAUAAUCGGUACGCUUGCUAUCCCUGUCUGUCUGUCUGUCUUUCUCUUUCUCUUUUUCUUUUUCUUUCUCUCUCUUUCUCCUCCCUCAUAUUUUCGAUCCGCAUAAGAUCGGCUCGCGUCCAUCGACGAUGCGUCAAGUAAGCAGCGGCACGACGAUAGCUACGAGUCUAACGAGAUAUAUAUAUAUGUAUUUAUACGACCGAAAUCGUUUGCGUAAAAUUCGUUCUCUCUUGCUUACACAUGUAAAGGAGAAUGAUGACGAAAAAAGUAUAGAGGAAGAAGAUUAAAAUGAAGAAGAUGGACGUAUCUGUGUCUAUCUAUCUAUCUAUCUAUCUAUCUAUCUAUCUAUCUAUCUAUCUAUCUAUCUGUAUAUCUAUAUAUAUACAUAUGUUAUGUAUAUAUAUGUAUGUAUGUAUGCAUCGAUGUACGUAUGAAUAUACUAUGAAUAUAUGUAUGGAUAUAUGUAUGGACGUAUAUAUAGAUGAUGUAUGCACGUAUGUAUGUAUGUAUAUAUAUAUAUGUGUGUGCAACUAUGUGUACGAUUAGACGGGCAAGGAUACCGCGAAAAUCGUCGUCCCGGCGUGAGAAAAGGCGGGACACCGUCGUUGAACUCUCGUAAUAUCGCCGAUAGAAAGAUAAUAAGUGGAUACGUAAAACGAGAAUAGAGCGUCCUGCACUUGGGUGGUGUCCUCGGACGCGCAGAGAGCGAGAGAGCGGAACGAUUUUCCCCGAAGCCGAACCCGGGAGUGACUAAAAUCGAAAUCGGUGGACGAACACAGGGGCGCGUCGGGGCGCGCAUGUGCGACGGCGCCGCCGGUCGUCGACGCAUAUUAUCCGUCCGCGUCCCGUGUGUCGCCUCGCGCUCUCUUGUGUGUGCCAGCCUGCCUGCCUGCCUGCCUGCCUAGCUAGCUACCUAACUUGAUUCCUUCUUCGCUAGCUAGCCUGUGUUUUCUGCUGCCUACUAGGUUGCCUCCUGUCGCGCGUCUCUUGAGUGCGCGCUCACCUACUAACCGAGCUGAUCGCCUCGUCUAUCAUCGGCCAAUCGCAAGUACCGAGUCGAGUCGAGCCGAACCGAGCCGAACCGAAUCGAACCGAAUCGAACCGAACCGAACCGAACACGACCGAGCGAAGUCGACUGGAGCCGAAUCUGCCAGCCGGCCGGCGUUCCUUCGGUACUUCGCGCGCCAAUUCUCAUAUUCCAACGUCGUAUCUUCUCAUCGAUCGCCUACCGACCCUCUGUCUUUUCGUUAGACCCUUGCUUCCUCUUAAACCCUCUCCCACCAUUCCUAUCCUUUCUCUUCUCCCUCCAACUAUCUCUUCUCGCCCUUUAUUCUUCGCCCCUCCGCUCCCCAUCAAAAGCAUGCCUUCUAAAGAUCGAGCAGGUUACUUUUGUGGGGGACGCCAUCUUUUGCAAACGACGACGAACGAUUCUUUCGUACUACGUCCACGCGUCUUACGUGGCGCGUAAACUUGAAAAAUGUUCGAAUACGAUUCUAUCGUGGGAUUGUUCGUUACUGUACGAUAGAUGAUUGACAAAAUUCGAAAUAGGGAAUGUCUUUGUAUAUAUUCCUGUUGAAUAAUAUCGAGUAAUAUCAGAAUACUUACUUUUUCGUAUAGCUGUACGCUUCUCCCAUCGCUGACGAUCGUCAUGGUUUUUACAUUUAUCGACUUCGUCUGUUCUUCUUCUAGAUAAGAUUGCGACGGAUUCCGUCCCAUCGAAUGGUUGAUGAAUGUUUCCUCUUUCUUCAGACGACACUUUCAAGAACAUUAUCUUAUGAAUAAUAGUAUAUCCAUACAGACAGGAACACUUACGAACUUAAUAUAUCUAAUGAUUAAACGAAAUAAA